rnacentral:lncRNA from 1 species
UAUAGCAACUCAAUAUAAAACAACCUCUAAAAGCCCACACUGCUCCACUAAGAGUGAUUUACAAUUGGAUAAGCAUUAAUGAUUAUAAAAUUAAGAAACAAAAAUCUUUAAAGAAUUAUGAUGAAGUUGAUUUUAUGGAUAUAGAAAAUGAAGCAAGCACAUGGAUGCAUGUGCAAUGAAAAAUUAUGAGAAAAUCAAAUAUCAAAUUCCAAUUUUCCAGUUGCCUUUUUUGUUUGGUUGGCUGCUUAACAAUAACAUUCAUUUGUCCCCACAUCACUUUUAUUUCUCUGUGGCCACUCACUUUCCGCCACGUAUAACUUUAAUUUUUCACACGGAAGUUGCCACGCUCUCAAUUGAAUUUGCCUUGCUUGCUUUGCCGCCCCCACCAAAUCCAAUUAUAUCCAUUUGUCAAUUUCAAUUGACAAACAAACACAAAAAAUGAUUUUGGUUGGGAAAACAAAAUUAAUUUCAAUAAUUUGUUUUUGGUGAUGUGGGUCAACAAUUGUAAUAAAAUAAUACAUUUACAAAAUAAAUGUGCUGUAGGGAUUCGAGAAUUUAAUAAGCUUUCAAUGAGGAAAUUAUUAUGAUUUCAUGCCAUUGAUUUUGUAGAUUUUUUUUUUUGCCCCCCUUUUGGGCUCAUCAUGCUAAAUGAUCUUUCAUAACCGAAAUUUCAGCAAAAUUUAAUGGGUAUGUUCAAUUUCUUAAUUAUAGAACAACAAAACUAGUUUUUUUAAUUUCAUUAAAAUAAUUUUUUGCCGUUCAAAAGAAAAAUAAGAGAGUAAUGCUAGGCAUCAUAAAUUUUUCAUCACAAAAUUACAUGACAAGUGAUAUGAUAUGAUAAUAUUCAAUUGAAUAAGAAAUUUUUAUUUAUUUUUUUAGUUAUUUAUUAAAUAUUACAAGUACCCACAUUAUGAAUGACACAUUAUUGAGUAUCUCAAGAAUAGUAUCUCUCACAAUCUAAUUUUUUGACUAUCUAACGCUGCAUAAAGACUAUAAGAUACAAUAUCUCUAAGAUACCAUUGUCACAGCCCACAUUAUAUAGAAAGUAAAAAAUUUCAGGAUAAUUUUUGGAAUAUUUAUCUUUGCUCAAAAGGAAAUUGCAGUUAACAAAAUUCUUGACAGCUUAGGCAAGACAUGGGAGUACGAAAGAAAUGGGCCAGUCAUGCCUCGCUUCGGCAUAACCAAUGAGCCUGAGGAGCCCUGAAGCUUUUACUGGGCAGGCCCAUGCCCUUGGCUUUCUUCGAAAUUGGGCCAAAACAAGGUCAUUUGAUAUUACAUUAAAACCAGGCAGCAGUGAUACUAGUAUAUAGGGGAAUUAUUUUUAUAUAGUUAUAAUUUACACAAGUUAUAAAUAAGAAUAAAUUUCACAUUAUAAUGGAUCUCAUUUUAUAAAACUUACCUCCACAUGGUAAUAAUUAUUCGGUAUAUUAUAAAAGAUAUAUACUAUGUUAUAUUAAAGGUUUAAGAUUGAAUACAAUAUUUUUCAAAAAUUAAUGGAAAAAUAUUUUAUUAUUCAAACUUUUUGUGAUGACUUUACAUCAUCCCUGCAUUAUAUAUAUGUAUUAGUUUUCUGAAACUUAGUUUAUCUUUUUUUU